GCAGGGAUAUGGAAGCGGUCAAACCAGCAGGCUUCAGGAGCCUGUCGCUUAGUGCGUUCGGCGGUUCGAACCCGCCUCCCUGCA
rnacentral:tRNA from 1 species